CAGCAGCCGCGGUAAUACGGAGGGUGCAAGCGUUAUUCGGAAUCACUGGGCGUAAAGCGCGCGUAGGCGCUGCGCAAGUCAGAUGUGAAACCCUCGGCUAAACCGGGGAAUUGCAUCUGAAACUGCGUAGCUAGAGUUCGGGAGAGGGCGGCGGAACUCCCGGUGUAGGGGUGAAAUCCGUAGAUAUCGGGAGGAACACCAGAGGCGAAGCGGCCGCCUGGACCGAAACUGACGCUGAGGCGCGAAAGCGUGGGUAGCAAACAGGAUUAGAUACCCUGGUAGUCCACGCCGUAAACAUUGGGCGCUAGAUGCUGGGGGCGUUAGAGCUUCGGUGUCGU
rnacentral:rRNA from 1 species